AUUGAACGCUGGCGGCAGGCCUAACACAUGCAAGUCGAGCGGCAGCGGAAAGUAGCUUGCUACUUUGCCGGCGAGCGGCGGACGGGUGAGUAAUGUCUGGGAAACUGCCUGAUGGAGGGGGAUAACUACUGGAAACGGUAGCUAAUACCGCAUGACCUCGAAAGAGCAAAGUGGGGGAUCUUCGGACCUCACGCCAUCGGAUGUGCCCAGAUGGGAUUAGCUAGUAGGUGAGGUAAUGGCUCACCUAGGCGACGAUCCCUAGCUGGUCUGAGAGGAUGACCAGCCACACUGGAACUGAGACACGGUCCAGACUCCUACGGGAGGCAGCAGUGGGGAAUAUUGCACAAUGGGCGCAAGCCUGAUGCAGCCAUGCCGCGUGUGUGAAGAAGGCCUUAGGGUUGUAAAGCACUUUCAGCGAGGAGGAAGGCACCAUACUUAAUACGUGUGGUGAUUGACGUUACUCGCAGAAGAAGCACCGGCUAACUCCGUGCCAGCAGCCGCGGUAAUACGGAGGGUGCAAGCGUUAAUCGGAAUUACUGGGCGUAAAGCGCACGCAGGCGGUUUGUUAAGUCAGAUGUGAAAUCCCCGCGCUUAACGUGGGAACUGCAUUUGAAACUGGCAAGCUAGAGUCUUGUAGAGGGGGGUAGAAUUCCAGGUGUAGCGGUGAAAUGCGUAGAGAUCUGGAGGAAUACCGGUGGCGAAGGCGGCUCCCUGGACAAAGACUGACGCUCAGGUGCGAAAGCGUGGGGAGCAAACAGG
rnacentral:rRNA from 1 species